GCUCCAUUGGCGCAGCUGGUUAGCGCGUGGUACUUAUACGAAUAAGCAAUGCCGAGUCGGGAGUUCGAUCCUCCCAUGGAGCA
rfam:Necator americanus N_americanus-1.0_Cont64.48, whole genome shotgun sequence.